rnacentral:rRNA from 1 species
ACGGCUAACUACGUGCCAGCAGCCGCGGUAAUACGUAGGUGGCAAGCGUUAUCCGGAAUUAUUGGGCGUAAAGCGCGCGUAGGCGGUUUUUUAAGUCUGAUGUGAAAGCCCACGGCUCAACCGUGGAGGGUCAUUGGAAACUGGAAAACUUGAGUGCAGAAGAGGAAAGUGGAAUUCCAUGUGUAGCGGUGAAAUGCGCAGAGAUAUGGAGGAACACCAGUGGCGAAGGC